rnacentral:tRNA from 1 species
GGGCUGGGGCUCAGUGGUAGAGCGCUUGCCUAGCACGAGUCAGGCGCUGGGUUCGAUCCUCAGCACCACA